rnacentral:rRNA from 1 species
UACGGAGGGGGCUAGCGUUGUUCGGAAUUACUGGGCGUAAAGCGCACGUAGGCGGAAUGUUAAGUCAGGGGUGAAAUCCCGGGGCUCAACCCCGGAACUGCCUUUGAUACUGGCAUUCUCGAGUCCGGAAGAGGUGAGUGGAAUUCCGAGUGUAGAGGUGAAAUUCGUAGAUAUUCGCAAGAACACCAGUGGCGAAGGCGGCUCACUGGCCCGGUACUGACGCUGAGGUGCGAAAGCGUGGGGAGCAAACAGG